CACAAUGUGGCUAGCUAAACUCACAUCACUUGUCAUCCUCUGUGCAUUCUCAGAGUUAUUAAGAGGGGAUUCCAUUAACCAGCAAUCCUUUGAUACGGGUACAGAGAAUGAAAUGAAGACUCUCACUUGUACCUACAGAACCACAAGUGCCAACCCCUGUCUCUAUUGGUACAAACAACAUCAAUACAAUGCUUUGGAGUAUAUCCUGCGACAGUCCAGUUCCCCCACUGCCUGUUCUAGCCAAGUAGCAAAUAAUGACCCAAGAUUCCGUUCAAAUGCAACCAGUUCUAGUGCAGUGUUAACCAUUGUGAGCCUGGCUCUGACAGACACUGCUGUAUACUAUUGUGUACUGGGCGAUUCUCACACUGACAAAAUCGAUCCAAGAGCUGAACAGAAACAUUCCUAG